GAUGAACGCUGGCGGCGUGCCUAAUACAUGCAAGUCGAGCGAACAGACGAGGAGCUUGCUCCUCUGACGUUAGCGGCGGACGGGUGAGUAACACGUGGAUAACCUACCUAUAAGACUGGGAUAACUUCGGGAAACCGGAGCUAAUACCGGAUAACAUGUUGAACCGCAUGGUUCAACAGUGAAAGACGGUCUUGCUGUCACUUAUAGAUGGAUCCGCGCCGCAUUAGCCAGUUGGUAAGGUAACGGCUUACCAAGGCAACGAUGCGUAGCCGACCUGAGAGGGUGAUCGGCCACACUGGAACUGAGACACGGUCCAGACUCCUACGGGAGGCAGCAGUAGGGAAUCUUCCGCAAUGGGCGAAAGCCUGACGGAGCAACGCCGCGUGAGUGAAGAAGGUCUUCGGAUCGUAAAACUCUGUUAUUAGGGAAGAACAAAUGUGUAAGUAACUAUGCACGUCUUGACGGUACCUAAUCAGAAAGCAACGGCUAACUACGUG
rnacentral:rRNA from 1 species